AGGAGUUAAAUAAAUUAUAUUUGCUGGAAGCUUUGAAGGCUUCAGGUCUAGAAGUAACCUAAACUCCUA
rnacentral:tRNA from 1 species